AACAAACGCUGGCGGCGUGCAUAACACAUGCAAGUCCGACGGGAAAGUUGGCUUCGGCUGGCGAGUACCGUGGCGAACGGGUGAGUAACACGUGGGUAAUCUAACCUCGAGUUUGGGAUAACCUUGCGAAAGCGGGGCUAAUACCGAAUAAGACCACGCUCUGUCCGCAGAGUGCGGUAAAAGGCGGCCUCUUCAUGAAAGCUGUCACUUGGGGAUGAGCCCGCGGCCUAUUAGCUAGUUGGUGGGGUAAUGGCCUACCAAGGCGACGAUGGGUAGCGGGCCUGAGGGGGUGUACGGCCACACUGGCACUGAGAUACGGGCCAGACUCCUACGGGAGGCAGCAGUGGGGAAUUUUGCGCAAUGGGCGAAAGCCUGACGCAGCAACGCCGCGUGAGUGAUGGAGGCUUUCGGGUCGUAAAGCUCUGUCAGAGGGAAAGAAGUGUAUUGUGGCUAAUAUCCACGAUACUUGACGGUACCCUCAAAGGAAGCACCGGCUAACUCCGUGCCAGCAGCCGCAGUAAAAC
rnacentral:rRNA from 1 species